rnacentral:rRNA from 1 species
UGGGGAUUAUUGCACAAUGGGGGAAACCCUGAUGCAGCGACGCCGCGUGAGCGAUGAAGGCUUUCGAGUCGUAAAGCUCUGUCCUAUGGGAAGAUAAUGACGGUACCAUAGAAGAAAGCCCCGGCUAAUUACGUGCCAGCAGCCGCGGUAAUACGUAAGGGGCGAGCGUUGUCUGGAAUUAUUGGGCGUAAAGAGUGCGUAGGCGGCAAAUUAAGUCAGAUGUGAAAACUAAGGGCUCAACCCAUAGAUUGCAUCUGAAACUGAUAUGCUUGAGUCAAGGAGAGGAAAGUGGAAUUCCUAGUGUAGCGGUGGAAUGCGUAGAUAUUAGGAGGAAUACCAGUGGCGAAGGCGACUUUCUGGACUUGAACUGACGCUGAGGCACGAAAGCGUGGGGAGCAAACAGG